AUCCAAUGUGAUACUUUCCUAUAUGAUUCCUUUGAAUAUGAUUUGGAACAAACUUCCUAAGUCAUACUCAUUUGCUUUGGCCAAAGACUCCCGAAUCAUAUCUUAGAGUAUUCUCCAUCCACCAUGGAAGGUUAGAGAUCCCUUGUUGUGCAUUCAUAUGCCUACAUGAUUAGAUAGCUUGACCCCAACAAUGUCGUGGACACUCUAAAGGAAUGCCGUUGACAGGAUCAAAGAUCAAGGACCUAACCAU
rnacentral:lncRNA from 1 species